rnacentral:lncRNA from 1 species
CAUGAACUGCCGACUGCAUGUUAUCCACCGCUCAUGUAUCCCGAUCUAGUUGGAUCUGAUUUAUGCAAUAAUUUCUCAUAUUAGAGCGCCGCUAUUUGAAGAAAUUAUUGCUCGGAUUAUGUAUAGAUAAAUCAGCACAACUCUCAAAGCAUAUGGACAGUAGAGAAUGCCCAAUCAAAAAUUUAUGACUUGUUUGAUUGAUAAAAAGCGGAGG